UGAGGAAUAUUGGGCAAUGCCCGCAAGGGUGACCCAGCAACGCCGCGUGGAGGACGAAUGUCGUAAGAUUGUAAACUCCUGUUAGAGGGGAAGAAUAGUACCGGUUGGACCGGUAUAUGACUGUACCCUCAGAGAAAGCCCCGGCUAACUACGUGCCAGCAGCCGCGGUAAUACGUAGGGGGCAAGCGUUGGCCGGAUUUACUGGGGGUAAAGGGCGCGCAGGCGGGAUAAAAAGUCAGUGGUGAAAUCCUACAGCUUAACUGUAGAACUGCCUUUGAUACUUUUAUUCUUGAGUUCGGGAGAGAGAGACGGAAUUCCAGGUGUAGUGGUGAAAUACGUAGAUAUCUGGAAGAACACCAGUUGCGAAGGCGGUCUCUUGGUCCGACACUGACGCUGAGGCGCGAAAGCGUGGGGAGCAAACA
rnacentral:rRNA from 1 species